CGGCAACCCACUCAGGUCCCCUUCCACACUGUGGAAGCUUUGUUCUUUGCUCUUUGCAAUAAAUCUUGCUGCUGCUCAUGCUUUGGGUUUGCACUACUUUUAUGAGUUGUAACACUCACCGCGAAGGUCUGCAGCUUCACUCCUGAAGCCAGCGAGACCACGAACCCACAGGGAGGAAAAAACAACUCCGGACGCACCACCUUUAAGAGCUGUAACACUCACUGUGAAGGUCUGCAGCUUCACUCCUGAAGUCAGCAAGAUCAUGAACCAACCAGAAGGAAGAAACUCCAGACACAUCUGAACAUCUGAAGGAAGAAACUCCGGACACACCAUCUUUAAGAACUGUAACACUCACUGCACGGGUCUGCGGCUUCAUUCUUGAAGUCAGUGAGACCAAGAACCCACCGGAAGGAACCAAUUCUGGACACAUUUUGGCAACCACGAAGGGACCAUCGCCUAUUGCCAAGUGGAUCGAGGCCAUCAAGCUACAGAUGGUCUUACAAAUGGAACCCCAAAUGAGCUCAACUAACAACUUCUAUCGAGGACCCCUGGACCGACCUCCUGGCCCUUUCACUGACCUAAAGAGUUCCCCUCUGGAGGACACUACAAUUACAGGGCCUCUUCUUCACCCCUGUCCAGCAGGAAGUAGCUAGAGCAGUCACUGCCCAAUUCCCAAUAGCAGUUGGCGUGUCCUGUUUAGAGGGGGGAUUGAGACGUUAAGCCGGCUGAGCUUCUGCAUCAGGUGGGAACUUGGCGAACUUUUCUGUCUAGCUAAAGGAUUGUAAACGCUCCAAUCAGCACUCUGUGUCUAGCUAAAGUUUGUAAACGCACCAAUCAGCCCUCUGUAAAAACGCACCAGUCAGUGCUCUAUGCCUAGGUAAAGGUUUGUAAAUGCACCGAUCAGCACGCUGUAAAAACACACCAAUCAGCACUCUGUAAAAUGGAUCAAUCAGCAGGACAUUGGUGGGGUCAAAUUAGGGAAUAAAUGCUGGCCACCCAAGCCAGCAGCGGCAACCCACUUGGGUCCCCUUCCACACUGUGGAAGCUUUGUUCUUUCACUCUUUGCAAUAAAUCUUGCUGCUGCUCACACUUUGGGUCUGCACUACCUUUAUGAGCUCUAACACCUACCACAAAGGUCUGCAGCUUCACUCCUGAAGCCAGCGAGACCACGAACCCACCGGGAGGAACAAACAACUCUGGAUGCGCCACCUUUAAGAGCUAUAACACUCACUGCGAAGGUCUGCAGCUUCACUCCUGAAGUCUGCAAGAAACCCACCGGGAGGAAUGAACAACUCGGGAUGCGCCACCUUUAAGAGCUGUAACACUCACUGUGAAGGUCUGUGGCUUCACUCCUGAAGUCAGCAAGACCAUGAACCCACCAGAAUGAAGAAACUCCAGACACAUCUGAACAUCUGAAGGAACAAACUCCGGACAUACCAUCUUUAAGAACUGUAACACUCACUGCGAGGGUCCGCGGCUUCAUUCUUAAAGUCAGUGAGACCAAGAACCCAUCAGAAGGAACCAAUUCCGGACACAGUGAUACAUGCAAACCCAUAUCUAGAAUGUAUUGCUCCCCGUCAAGCUGACUUGCUGCAUCUUCCAAGGAGGAAGGGGCCCAAUGUAGUCAACUUGCCACCAAAUGGCUGGUUGGCCUCCUUGAGAUAUGAUGCUGUAUCAAGGGCAGCAUUUAUUUCUAUUGUUGAUGGGCUGGACAUUUGGCAGCACUAGCUAAUGUAAGUCAUGGUGAAUGGCAGCCCAUACUGUUCGCCUGCACAUAGCUUUCAUCUCUGCCCACAUGUCUAUUUGGUUCAUGAACUUGUUGUGCCAGCACUGAGAUGGUCAAUUAUAAAGAAAAGCUCAGGUUAAAGAGCUGAGACACUGUAUUUACUUUUUGCUUGGUGCCUCUUCCAGGGUGGAUGCUACCUGUGGGUGUUAACAUGCAAUCCAAAAAUGUUUACACUUUGUAUCCACUUCAAACGUAAACUCCUGUGACUCCUUCUCAAAACUUACCACAUACAUUUUCUCUUUACCCUUUCAGGCCCCUGUCCAAGCAGCCAGGCCCUCUGCGUCUAUCAUGAGCCCUCACAGAUGUUUACCUUAGGCCAUGUCACUUUCAACACAAAGGUAAUGACUAGUUGCACCUGCAAGAGUGCUACCCACUGGAGAAUUUCCCCUGCCUGCUACCGUGCAGGGACACCCCGAGUGAGCUGUAAUGCAGCAGCUGUCUGUUUUCCACUGCAUGAGUGACCUGCAAUCUAUGCUCGUUCUUUUUUCUUUUCCAUCAGGUGGUCAUAAAAGCCCUCUGUCCUAUAUUGACACAGAUAUUAGUUCAGAGAGGGAAUCCAAUGCAUCAGUGGUAGGUAUUAUGGAAGUCUAAGUCAUCUGCUCAUAUGGCUUACUUUUAAAAUUAAGGUCAUCUCCAAAAGAUGGCAUGGUUCCACCAGUAUGGUAUCACAGAUAUGGCAUAUGUCCAAAGUCAUCAAAUUGUAUACAUUAUACAUGUGCAGGAUUUUUUUGGGGGGUACAUCAACUAUACCUAAUUAAGAUUACAUCAAAAACUGGUAAGUGCUAUGAAAAAAUUAUAUGAAUCAGGAUAAUGAGAUAGGGAUUGACUGUUGGGUGAACAUGGAAGGCUACAAGGUGGCAUUCGAGAAGACCUGAAUGAGAUGAAACCAUGUCAGGUUAUGACAAUAGGGAAAAACAUUCUAGAUAGAGUGAUUGUGUCCCUGGGUCAAAUCAUACCUGAGGUCAGUGGCCAGUUUUAUUCUCUAUCUGCCACUAUCUUCCUUUAAAAAAAAAAUUGAUGCCAGGCAUGAUGGCUCAUGCCUAUAAUCCCAGCACUUUGGGAGGCCGAGGCAGGCGGAUCACCUGGAGGUCAGGAAUUUGAGACCAGUCUGGCAAACAUGGUGAAACCCUGUCUCUACUAAAAAUACAAAAAUUAGCUGGGUGUGGUGGUGCGCACCUGUAAUGUCAGCUACUCAGGAGGCUGAGGCAGAAGAAUCGCUUGAACCUGGGAGGUGGAGAUUGAUUGCAGUGAGCCGAGAUCACACCAUUGCACUCCAGCCUGGGUGAUAGAGUGAGACUCCUUCUAAAAAAAAAAAAAGAAAGAAAGAAAAAAAAAUACACACACACACACACACACACACACACACACACUCUCCCUCUCUCUCUCUCACACACACACAUAUCAGCUCAUUUAAAUUAAAAUUUGUGAUUUUGACCAAAUAAUUCUAUUGUAGACUGCAUGUUUGUGUUCCCUGCAAAUUCACAUAGUGAAACUCCAACCCUCUAGGGAUGGUGUUAGGAGGUGUAAAUGUUGGUAGGUGAUUGGGUUCAGAUGAGGUCAUGAGGGUGGGAGCUCUCAGGAUGGAAUUCAUGCCCUUGUAAGAAAAGAAAGAGACUAGAAUUUGUUCUCUCAGCCUUAUUAGGAUCCGAGGAGAAGACAGCCAUCCACGAACCAGGAACAGAACCCAACCAGACACCAGAUCUGCCAGCACCUUGAUGUUAAGCUUCCAGCCUCCAAAAAUAAAUGUGUGUUGUUUAUCCUAUGCAGUGUAUUUUUGAUACAGUAGCCCAAACUGACUAAAACAAAUCCUAAUAUAAAUCCUAGUAUUAAUACACUGUGUUGGGGUGGAGUUGGGAUGGUGAGCCUAUUUUCUGUGAAUAAUAAAAAAAAAGUUAAUAAUAAUAAUUGUAAGAUUUGCAGGGACCAUGUGGCAAUAAUUAGUUGGCUACCCAAAAGCACCUUCCAAUCCAACUGUCCCUUGCCCUCCUCCAACUAUAGAGGCUGGAAAAGUCUAGAUAUUGCUUUUUCCAACUUCCCCUUGUAAUGAAGAGUGGGCACAUGACCCAGUUGUGGACCAUGAGAUGCAAGGGGAAUGUUGCUGAAAGGAUUCUGAGAAAGUGAAUCCUCUCCCUAGCAGAAGGGAAAACACAAAUAAGUUCACUCCCCACUAGCUCCUCUUUCCCUUUGAAUGUGAUCUUGUUAUUCAGAGCUCGUCAAAUCAUGAGGGUCAAAGGAGAGAAUCAUGGAGAGGCUGAGCCAGAAUGCUGACACAGCCAUGCCAUAGAAAGAAUACCAGCAACUGCCUGCUUAUCAACUCCUUGUUGCCUGAGAAAAAUGGACUUCUCAUCAUUUAGGCCAUUGGUAUUUGGCUUUCCUUUUAUUUGCAAUUUGAAAGUAUUAUUUACUUAUACUGACUGCCGUAAUACAUUGAAUUCCUAAAACCCAGCAAGACCUAGAAUAGGAAUUGG
rnacentral:lncRNA from 10 species